UACGUAGGGGGCAAGCGUUGUCCGGAUUUAUUGGGCGUAAAGAGCGUGUAGGCGGCCAGAUAGGUCAGCUGUGAAACUCGAGGCUCAACCUCGAGACGCCGGUUGAAACCAUUUGGCUAGAGUCCGGAAGAGGAGAGUGGAAUUCCUGGUGUAGCGGUGAAAUGCGCAGAUAUCAGGAAGAACACCCGUGGCUAAGGCGGCUCUCUAGUACGGUACUGACGCUGAGACGCGAAGCGUGGGGAGCGAACAGG
rnacentral:rRNA from 1 species